rnacentral:siRNA from 1 species
UAUAAAGUACUGUGUGGAAGCUCU